rnacentral:lncRNA from 1 species
GCGCACUCUCGGAAGCGCAGCCGAACCCGCCCUCCGAAUCCAGAGAGGCGCUGCUGACACCGCCGCCACACCGCCGCCACACCGCCGCUGCCUCAGUCAUGCCGGAGUUAAGUAUGACAUUGACCUGCCCAACAAGAAGGUCUGCAUUGAAUCUGAGCACAGCAUGGACACUCUGCUUGCAACCCUGAAGAAAACAGGAAAGACUGUUUCCUACCUUGGCCUUGAGUAGCAGGGGCCUGGUCCCCACAGCCCACAGGAUGGACCAAAGGGGGCAGGAUGCUGAUCCUCCCGCUGGCUUCCAGACAGACCUGGGACUUGGCAGUCAUGCCGGGUGAUGGUGUUCCUGCGGAGACCCUCAGUUGUCCUAUUCCUUCCUAGCUUCCCUGCAAUAAAAUCAAGCUGCUUUUGUUGG